rnacentral:rRNA from 1 species
GUAGGUGGCAAGCGUUGUCCGGAAUUAUUGGGCGUAAAGCGCGCGCAGGCGGUUCUUUAAGUCUGAUGUGAAAGCCCACGGCUCAACCGUGGAGGGUCAUUGGAAACUGGAGAACUUGAGUACAGAAGAGGAAAGCGGAAUUCCACGUGUAGCGGUGAAAUGCGUAGAGAUGUGGAGGAACACCAGUGGCGAAGGCGGCUUUCUGGUCUGUAACUGACGCUGAGGCGCGAAAGCGUGGGGGAGCAAACAGGAUUAGGUACCCUGGUAGUCCACGCCGUAAACGAUGAGUGCUAAGUGUUAGGGGGUUUCCGCCCCCUUAGUGCUGCAGCUAACGCAUUAAGCACUCCGCCUGGGAUACGGCCGCAAGGCUG